AAAACCCGAAUGAACUUCUUGGC
rnacentral:miRNA from 1 species